CCUAACUUCUUAAUUGAAAACUUAGAAUAUAAAAUAAAAUUAAAAACUAAAAAAAAGAAGUAAAAGUUAUUUAUUGGUUCGACUAAUGAUUCAACCAGUAUCGGAUUCCGGGUUUUACCGGAUUUUUGCGGGUUUUUAAAUAUUGGGUUUUUCACAAAACUCACACUAUAUUUUUUUUAGGUCACCGGAUUUACUGGUUCAACCGUGGGUUUGGGUCGGAUUGCAAAACAUUGGUUUCAUCUUUUCCGUCUAUACUCCCUGUUCAUAAUUAGAAUUUCACCCGUUAUUCUUGGCAUAUGUUAACCGAGACGAUGAAUAGAAUAAGAUAGAUACGUAACCAUCAUCUAUUUUAAACAACACAGAAAUUUUGUUUUACAGUUUCUAAUUAACCGCUUUGUUCGAAGCAACAACCCUCAUGUGACAAUAUAAUCUAUGUUUAUACAAUAUUUGAUUAAAAUACUAUUUUACUUUGAUUAAAUAUUAUGAUAAAAUUAUUUAAAAUACAAUAAGUUUGACCUGUGCGUGGCACGAGAGAAACACAAGCACAAGAGUAACACUAGCAUGUGAACAAGCUGUAGAUAUAUUACUUUUUUUUUCCUUUCUUCUACAAGUUGACAUCGAUUACUUAAAAAAAUAGAAAUAAAUGAGAUGCCACACCAGUAAAUAUAGAUAGGAGAGACCUCAUUUGCAACCAUCUGUCACUUUUUAACUAAAUUCCUAACAUAUCUCAAGUGAGUCCGUACUGUGUUUUCGCCGUGAUAACGCCUCUCGCCCUCCUUCAUUACACAAUGGACGUCAACAGCCGCCCAUUUUCGUGGACGAAUCAUCAGGUGUUCGUCAGUUUCCGUGGAGAGGAGCUCCGGAGUGGUUUCGUCAGCCAUCUUGUGGAAGCUCUCCAGAGACAUGGGAUCAACGUUUUCAUAGACAAACUCGAGACCAUUGGGCAAGAUCUCUCCAACCUCUUCGCGAGGAUUGAGGAGUCAACCAUCGCUUUGGUGAUAUUCUCCAGAAGGUACACCGAGUCAAGAUGGUGCUUAGACGAAGAUCAAGGAACGUGCAGACCAAGGCUUGCUCAAGGUUAUUCCCAUCUUUUUCAAAGUGGAACCAGUCACCGUGAAACAACUCCGUGGAGCAUUCGGGGACAAGUUCAGGGAUCGAGAGUGGGAGUAUCGGUGUGACAAACCCAGAACCAAUAGAUGGAAGGAGGCGUUAGCAUCUGUUUUAAGCAAAAUUGGCUUGACCUUUGACAGGAAAAGUAACGAAAGUAUGUUUGUCAGGAUAAUCGUUAACGAGGUCGAGAAAAUGCUACAACCACAAGUGAAGUUUGCGGCCAUUCCACUUUCAGGAGGAGGCCAGGGGGGUAUGAACAUACUAGCAUUGGGUCAAGAUCAGAUGGAUAUAUCAAGAGACAGACAGUGCUCUUGUGCAAGAGAACUCUUACAUUGCUAACUAGAUUGUAGUUGUUUCCAAUGCUUACAUGGAUAUCGAAUAUCACAACAGCCUUCUAAGGGCUCAGCUCAUUGCGCUAAGGGAGAAGCUGCACUCACUACACUCUAUCACAACCAACACUGGCCUCUGCUGAUUUUCUUACCUGUAACAUUUAAUUUAAAUCUCAUCUGAAUGGGCAUUGCCUCGUCUUUGGUUGAAUCUCAAUUUCUGAAAAAAAUAAAAAUAAAAUUGAGCGACU